rnacentral:lncRNA from 1 species
UCGAGAAAAGUAUGAUUUUUAUAGUUUUAAAAAAAAAUGGUUUUGAACUAAAUUAAAAUACAACAACUUUACAUUAUUAACAAAAUGAACAUAUGAGUGUAAUAAAGGCAUAAACAUAAAAAGAAAUGAAAAUACUAAAAGAAAAAUAAUAUAGCUAAAAGAAAUAAAAUGCCACACAUGAGUAUUGAACCCACCCCACUCAAGAAUAUGAACACUGCCCUUCUCCACCAAACCACUCAUCAUUAUCUGCUAUUGAGAUACUACAUUAAAUAUAUGAACCG